AGUCUCCUGGUGCUGCUCCAGUGGAUGGUAACAGUAAGUGGGUCUCCAGGUAUCAUCCUGGGGUCCUCCUGUUGAAAGGAUCCAUGAGAGACUGUUUGAUACAAAGGGAACUGCACGAGAGGGAGAAUGACUUCUGUGUCAGGGAACCAUUGACUUUAUUUUGUGGUACUUGGAAUGUCAAUGGACAGUAUCCUAUUCAGAGAGUGGACAAGUGGCUA